AUAUCAUCGAAAUCGGUACGGGGGCGGGGCCAAAUGCUGUUUUGGCCAAUCAGGACCACCUCAUAGAGAUGAAUUGAAUCAGUGCAUCUUUAUGAGGAAAACUCAGUGUCUCCAUGUAGAGCGUGGGGACGCGGAAUGGCAGGGCACAAACGAAGGUUAACUGUUUGCUUCCCACAGAAAUCCCACAACUAAGGCAGGUUUUUGCCCCUGAGGAAAGAUGUCCUUGUUUAUUUCUACAGUAUGUAUGGAAUAAAGUAAUCAAUCCAUUUCUACAAUCAGUAAAUCAAUUCCUACAGAAAUAUUUAUUUAAAAUCAAUUUAGAAUUUCCAGAAGUGUAAAAAAAGAGAUUUCCCUAAAACCAUAUUUUAAUCUGUGAUCACACGUGUGAAAUGACAGUAAUGUGUUAUUUCCGUAUAAAUAAUGGAGCAAAUUCUAACAGAGUGUUAUGUGUAAAACGGUUUCCAUGUAUCCGCCAGCAAUAUGUAGCAAGUGACGCUGGGAGCAAAAUGGCAAAGUGAUUGAAUUGUUUUGGAAUUUUGUUGCAACUUCUCUUCUUUGCACAAUAUUAUCAUCAUUUUAUAAGAAUCGUGAGACACAGAAUCUAGUAAGAACGUACCCGUCCUUGGGUAGUUCUGUUAUUACUGUAAGUAUUUCUGUAUUGCAAUAAUAACAGGUAGGUUUGCAGACGUAGCACACAGACAUGCCUCUCCAUGUUUCAGUUGCAGAGAAUUAAAAAUCAAAUUGCAAGAUUUCGAGAAAAUGCUGAUUGGGAAAAAUGUUUCCGCUCAACAACUCAACAAUUCAGCUUAGCUUCGCCCAUCGGUUUUUGAUUUACUACAAUUCACUUGUGUCAUUUUCUAGGAAUUCAAAGUAAACGGUUUAGGUCAGAAUUGCUGUAUGAAUUGUAAACAUAAGGACUUGGAGAAUUUUCCUAUUUCGUCUGUUUUGGCCUUACAUUUGUUUCUGACAGUGAUAUAAGCAGUGACAGAAAUACAUAAUGUGUUAUCAAGUACCUAAUACAGGCUGGGGCCACGCAUUGCUUUCAGAACGACUUCAGAAAAAAAGCGUAUAGCGGGCACUGCGGUACUGGUUAUCAGAGUGAUGGAGGAGGGGGACAUCUCCUUUACAUCAAUAUCUAUAGCAAGAAAUGUGUGAGAUCUACAGAGAGUUCUCAGGGCCCUGCCAACCUAGGAAAACAUGAAUGGGGAAUGCAUUGUUUGACUAACAGAGAAUUGCGGUUAGUGGAUGAAGGUGGAAAUUUGAGCGAAGUUUGAGGACUCCAUACAAUAGUGACAGUAUGCCCGUAAAUAGUGAUAGCAUGUCAGUACAAUAGUGACAGUAUGCCGUAAAUAGUGACAGUAUGCCCGUAAAUAGUGAUAGCAUGUCAGUAUAGUAGUGACUGCAUGCCCGUACAAUAGUGAUGGCAUGCCUGUACAGUAGUGAUAGUAUGACGAUACAAUAGUGAUACACUUACAAUAACCAUAAACGUGCGAGAAGAACUGGCAUGAUUGUAGGUAUUGCUACAUCUAACUCGAGUCCUUAUUGUUGGACAUAAUUUGCUUCAUAAAUUCAGCUUGGAAUUUUACACAAUACAACACGGCAGCUCUUUCAAUAUAAUGGAUAUAUUUUACCCGCUGAUCUGUAAAUAUAUUGUAAUUAUUAAAGAGGACUGUAAGUGGUGUGCGAUGCGUCACUAUGUGCGUAUUGCGGAGCUAUAUCUCACAUGGUGGCUGAUGGGAGCAUGAAGCCCAAUUAUCUACAACAGAACACAUUCAUUGGACCAGGGGGCUUGCACUGCUUUGAUGGCUGCAGCUUUGUCAUCACUUUUUGUGUGGAACAAAUCUAACUAUUGUUACAUAAGCAUUGAAACACUGUGAUGACCAAUACAAAGAGGUGUCUGAUGCAAGCAGCAAGAGAACAACUGGACCUGUAUGGAAUCUGCGGCUUUAUAUAGCAAAGUACAUGCUGGGUCACUAUGGUCAUUGUACGCAGGAAAGGCUGGGAAACUACAUUUCAGGACAAAUGUCAUUCUUGGUUUAGUGAAUCUAUAGUAAGCAGCCAUUGUGUUAUUUAGCAUGUACCUUAACGGGGCAAUAUCCCGAGCAGAUAGCACACAUUGCAAACCUGGACAAACUUUUUUACUGCUCGUUACCGGUAAUUAAGCAUUCAGGGUAACCUGCUACACUAUGUCUGAAUACUGUCUAUUAAUAGCUGGAAAACUAAUUUGGGAAAUUGUGUCAAGAGCUAGAUCCAGUUUAUAAUCUGUGUACAGUGACUGAGCGUUUAUAAUCUGUAUAUAGUGACUGUUUAUAAUCUGUAUAUAGUGACUGUUUAGAAUCUGUAUACAGUGACUGAGCGUUUAUAAUCUGUAUAUAAUGACUUUAUAAUCUGUAUACAGUGACUGUUUAUAAUCUGUAUAUAGUGACUGAGCGUUUGUAACCUGUAUAUAGUGACUGUUUAUAAUCUGUAUA